AUGCUGAACAAACAUGGAUGUGCCUUGCUAACGAAAGAUUCUUCGGGUGAUAUUCCCAAGAGUGCACCAAAUGAAGAAUCCGUGAAGGGUACAACCAGCAAAGAUGAUGCCAGGAACUUGGUAACCUCUGAUAGCAAUGUUGAGGGUGCUCCAUCUUCAGAGAAAGUAUAG
rnacentral:rRNA from 1 species